rnacentral:lncRNA from 1 species
AAACCAAACCUAAAAAGUAUCAGUUUGUUUGGUCGGUUUGGUUCGAUUUUUCGAUUUUUUAUAAAUACCCUUGAUGUAAGCAUAAUCAGGCUAGCACAUAAUUUUUGUUAUCACCUAAAUUCUUUCCAUCCAAUUUAAGGUAUGCCAUUGUUCUACUCAUAUAAAAUGUACGCUUUGAUACUUCCUAUGGCGUAAUAAAAUGGGAAUCUUCCCUUCCAAACAUCAGGGUACCUCAAUGGAGCAACCUAUUAAACACCAUGAAAUUGUAGAAAUGCAUUAUCAUUAAUAACAUCAAAUGGUCCAUGUGUCGCAAUUAUGGAUUUCUAUUAUGACGUGAGCUCUAUAAAACAAAGUUUCAGCCAUUUACUGAUCUCUCUCUCUCUCAAAAUCCAACAAUUUAUGGUUCCUAACAUUGGUAUUCUCCUUCUAUCCCAAUUUAUGUGAUGCACCUUCCUUUUCUAGUCUAUCCUGAUACCUUUUUAUAUUUAGAAAUAAUUCAUCAUUAAACUUCUUAUUUUAACUUUAAUGAGAUAGUUAUGGUCACAAAUAUUUAUUGUUUGUUUUAGACACAAGUUUCAAAGGUGAGUCUUUUUUCUUACAUUCCUGCACAAUCUACAAUGCAAUAUAAAAUGGGACACCCAAGAGUGUGGCCUAGUGGUUGACGAAGGGGCGAGAAUAUGAGUUCUCGGGUUCAAAUUCUAAUGAAGGUAAAAACACAAGGUGAUUUCUUUCUUUUUAUCUA